rnacentral:sRNA from 1 species
AGCACAUGGCGUCCAUCUUACUGAGGAGCUGCCGCGGCCGGGCGCCGGCCCGUCUCCCGCCGCCGCCUCGGGUCACCGUCCCGCGGGGUAGUCCGGGGGAUCCGGCUCAUCUCAGCUGUGCCAACACCCUGGGGUUGAGGAGCUGCCUGAAUGUUCCAUUUGGCUGCUGCACUCCCAUCCACCCUGUGUACCCAUCCUCCAGAGGCGAUCACCUUGGCUGUUGGACUCUGAGGCCCGAGUGCCUUCGCACGGUGUCGAGAGCGCCAUGGACCUCUACCUCUGUGGGUUUUGUGGCUGUGGGACCUCAGUGCCUUCCUGUGCGUGGCUGGCACUCUUCGCGCCCUGUUCGCGAUGACUCGGUAGUAGAGAAGUCCCUCAAGUCCUUGAAGGACAAGAACAAGAAGCUGGAGGAAGGCGGCCCGGUGUACAGCCCCCCCGCAGCGGUGGUGGUGAAGAAGCCUCUGGGGCAGAGGGUGCUGGACGAGCUGAAGCACUACUACCACGGCUUCCGCCUGCUGUGGAUUGACGCCAAGAUCGCCGCACGCACGCUCUGGCGCAUCCUCAAUGGCCACACCCUCACCCGCCGGGAGCGCAGGCAGUUUCUCCGGAUCUGCGCUGACCUCUUCCGCCUGGUGCCAUUCCUUGUGUUCGUGGUGGUGCCGUUCAUGGAGUUUCUGCUGCCUGUUGCUGUGAAGCUCUUCCCCAACAUGUUGCCAUCCACAUUUGAGACUCAGUCACUCAAGGAGGAGAGGCUGAAGAAGGAGCUUCGGGUCAAGCUGGAGCUGGCCAAGUUCCUCCAGGACACCAUCGAGGAGAUGGCCUUGAAGAACAAGGCAGCCAAGGGCAGCGCCACCAAAGACUUCUCUGUGUUUUUCCAGAAGGUGCUGUGAUACAUCUGAGUCCCUGUGACCUCACCAGGGAGCCUUCCCUGAUUUUCUGUUUCCCCUUCGCUGUGCUCAGCAGAGUGGAGCUCCCCCAAGUGCUGGCUGGCGCUUGAGAGUUUACCCAGGAGGCUCAGUUGGGGGCCAGUGGAGUGUCAGGAGUCUGGCCCCCAUGAGCUCCCAGUGAGUUGAGCUGUGGUGGCUGCACCUCGUCAGCCUUCAGAAUUAUGGGUGUCUGUGUCUUGUCACCCUGCAGCUGUCCAGGAGCAGUAGAAUCUGACCCAUGAGGAGCCUGAGACCCUGAUGUUGUGAGGUGUGGGUGGCUUGGCCGGGCUCCUCUGCUGGGCACUGCCCUCUGGCUGGAGUCAGUCAAGAAGGUCCCAGGUCCCAGGGGCUGGUCAGAGGCCUGGACUGUGGGAGCAGUGGGGGCUGGAGAGGAGGAGCGGCCCUCGAGGUUUCCUGCGGUCAUGUGGCCAGUGAGGUGAGGAUGGGGGAGAGAGCAGGUGCCAUGGACGAGAUCCCUGAGGACUAGAUGGGGUUGACGAGUCCAGUGUCGUUGGCUUGAGGGACUUCUGCCACUUUGGAGUGAGAAGGAUGUGUCUAAAGUGCAGGAAGAGCUUAAACCAGGGACUAGAAACUCCAGCCAUGUGUGUGCGUUGUCUGUGGGGUUUUCCCGCUGCAGCACAGAGGCGAGUGGUUUCCAUGGCUGCAAAGCCAGAAAUACUUGCUGUCUGGCCUUUGACAGA